rnacentral:rRNA from 1 species
GCGACCCCAGGUCAGGUGGGCCAAACCCAACCG